GUGAACGCUGGCGGUAGGCCUAACACCUGCAAGUCGAACGGCAGCACAGUAAGAGCUUGCUCUUACGGGUGGCGAGUGGCGGACGGGUGAGGAAUACAUCGGAAUCUACUUUUUCGUGGGGGAUAACGUAGGGAAACUUACGCUAAUACCGCAUACGACCUACGGGUGAAAGCAGGGGAUCUUCGGACCUUGCGCGAUUGAAUGAGCCGAUGUCGGAUUAGCUAGUUGGCGGGGUAAAGGCCCACCAAGGCGACGAUCCGUAGCUGGUCUGAGAGGAUGAUCAGCCACACUGGAACUGAGACACGGUCCAGACUCCUACGGGAGGCAGCAGUGGGGAUUAUUGGACAAUGGGCGCAAGCCUGAUCCAGCCAUACCGCGUGGGUGAAGAAGGCCUUCGGGUUGUAAAGCCCUUUUGUUGGGAAAGAAAAGCAGCAGGUUAAUACCCCGCUGUUCUGACGGUACCCAAAGAAUAAGCACCGGCUAACUUCGUG
rnacentral:rRNA from 1 species